rnacentral:rRNA from 1 species
CAAGAACCCAGGGCCUACGGGGCGCAGCAGGCGCGAAAACUUCGCACUGUGUGAAACCACGACGAGGGUAUUCCAAGCGCUUAUACUAAGUAUAAGCUGUUCAUCUGUCUAAAACACAAGUAGAGUAAGGGCUGGGUAAGACGGGUGCCAGCCGCCGCGGUAGUACCCGCAGCCCAAGUGGUGCUCGUUUUUAUUGGGUCUAAAGCGUCCGUAGCCGGCUUGGUAAAUUCUCGGGUAAAUCGGGCAGCUCAACUGUUCGAACUCCGGGGAGACUGCCAGGCUUGGGAUCGGGGGAAGUCAGAGGUACUUUCAGGGUAGGGGUGAAAUCCUGUAAUCCUGAAAGGCCCCCCAGUGGCGAAGGCGUCUGGCUACAACGAAUCCGACGGUAAGGGACGAAGCCCUGGGGCACAAACGGGUGUUGA